GACGAACGCUGGCGGCGUGCUUAACACAUGCAAGUCGAACGGAAAGGCCCUGCUUUUGUGGGGUGCUCGAGUUGCGAACGGGUGAGUAACACGUGAGUAACCUGCCAUUGACUUUGGGAUAACUUCAGGAAACUGGGGCUAAUACCGGAUAGGAGCUACUGCUGCAUGGUGGGGGUUGGAAAGUUUCGGCGGUUGGGGAUGGACUCGCGGCUUAUCAGCUUGUUGCUGUGGUAGUGGCUUACCAAGGCUUUGACGGGUAGCCUGCCUGCGAGGGUGACCGGCCACAUUGGGACUGAGAUACGGCCCAGACUCCUACGGGAGGCAGCAGUGGGGAAUAUUGCACAAUGGGCGGAAGCCAGAUGCAGCAACGCCGCGUGCGGGAUGACGGCCUGCGGGUUGUAAACCGAUGUCGCCUGUGACGAAGCGUGAGUGACGGUAAUGGGUAAAGAAGCACCGGCUAACUACGUG
rnacentral:rRNA from 1 species